rnacentral:rRNA from 1 species
GGAUUAGAUACCCUGGUAGUCCACGCCCUAAACGAUGUGCACUAGAUCGAGGAGGUUUUGACGCCAUCUCGGCCGAAGUAAAAACGUUAAGUGCACCGCCUGGGGAGUACGGUCGCAAGGCUAAAACUCAAAGGAAUUGACGGGGGCUCACACAAGCGGUGGAGCAUGUGGCUUAAUUCGAAACUACGCGAAGAACCUUAUUCAGGGUUUGACAUGUACGGAUUACUGAUCUGAAAAGUGAUGGACGCUCUUUGAGUGGAACGUACACAGGUGCUGCAUGGCUGUCGUCAGCUCGUGCCG